GACGAACGCUGGCGGCGCGCCUAACACAUGCAAGUCGAACGAGCAAAGAGGAGCUUGCUUCUCUGAGCGAGUGGCGAACGGGUGAGUAACGCGUGAGGAACCUGCCUCAAAGAGGGGGACAACAGUUGGAAACGACUGCUAAUACCGCAUAAGCCCACGGGUCGGCAUCGACCAGAGGGAAAAGGAGCAAUCCGCUUUGAGAUGGCCUCGCGUCCGAUUAGCUAGUUGGUGAGGUAACGGCCCACCAAGGCGACGAUCGGUAGCCGGACUGAGAGGUUGAACGGCCACAUUGGGACUGAGACACGGCCCAGACUCCUACGGGAGGCAGCAGUGGGGAAUAUUGCACAAUGGGGGAAACCCUGAUGCAGCGACGCCGCGUGGAGGAAGAAGGUCUUCGGAUUGUAAACUCCUGUUGUUGAGGAAGAUAAUGACGGUACUCAACAAGGAAGUGACGGCUAACUACGUGCCAGCAGCCGCGGUAAAACGUAGGUCACAAGCGUUGUCCGGAAUUACUGGGUGUAAAGGGAGCGCAGGCGGGAAGACAAGUUGGAAGUGAAAUCCAUGGGCUCAACCCAUGAACUGCUUUCAAAACUGUUUUUCUUGAGUAGUGCAGAGGUAGGCGGAAUUCCCGGUGUAGCGGUGGAAUGCGUAGAUAUCGGGAGGAACACCAGUGGCGAAGGCGGCCUACUGGGCACCAACUGACGCUGAGGCUCGAAAGUGUGGGUAGCAAACAGGAUUAGAUACCCUGGUAGUCCACACCGUAAACGAUGAUUACUAGGUGUUGGAGGAUUGACCCCUUCAGUGCCGCAGUUAACACAAUAAGUAAUCCACCUGGGGAGUACGACCGCAAGGUUGAAACUCAAAGGAAUUGACGGGGGCCCGCACAAGCAGUGGAGUAUGUGGUUUAAUUCGACGCAACGCGAAGAACCUUACCAAGUCUUGACAUCCUGCGACGGACAUAGAAAUAUGUCUUUCCUUCGGGACGCAGAGACAGGUGGUGCAUGGUUGUCGUCAGCUCGUGUCGUGAGAUGUUGGGCUAAGUCCCGCAACGAGCGCAACCCUUAUGGUCAGUUACUACGCAAGAGGACUCUGGCCAGACUGCCGUUGACAAAACGGAGGAAGGUGGGGAUGACGUCAAAUCAUCAUGCCCUUUAUGACUUGGGCUACACACGUACUACAAUGGCGUUAAACAAAGAGAAGCAAGACCGCGAGGUGGAGCAAAACUCAGAAACAACGUCCCAGUUCGGACUGCAGGCUGCAACUCGCCUGCACGAAGUCGGAAUUGCUAGUAAUCGUGGAUCAGCAUGCCACGGUGAAUACGUUCCCGGGCCU
rnacentral:rRNA from 1 species